AUCUCUUUGCCUUUUGGCUUAGAUCACGUGUAGUAUCUGUUCUUUUCAGUGUAACAACUGAAAUGUCAUCAUUGAUGACUUCAAUAAUACGUUACAUUUUUAUUUUUGGACUUCAGGGUAGAAAGAUCUGAUGGGCUUGCUCACAACUUUCUACACAGUGUCGUUGCCAUUGCACUUACUUCGGCUUCUGACGCAAACUUUC
rnacentral:snRNA from 1 species